rnacentral:sRNA from 1 species
CGGGAAAUGUGUUCCUAACAGACAGUGGGAGUCCAAAUCUCGUAAGCCGCAAUAUUGGAAUUUUACCCAUUGUUUUCUUGUUGCAUUCUUAGUCCGAGAUAGCAGCCGGCCCUGCGAGAAUCUCCGUGAUUAGUCCACCUCAAGAUGGACGAAUGGGCAGCGUCUCCUCCCGGGGCCCCGAGCAUCCCGGCCUGACGCCGAGUCAGAGGAGCAUGGGAAAGCCUCUCAGGAUUCCACCUCUGCAAAUUCCCUACAAGGGACCCCCACUAACGCCAACACCACAGUUACCAGGGAGAGCAGGAAGAGGGGACUCUCCAAGCUUCGGGGGCUCCCAGGCCAGGCUGCCCCCCCGGCCGCCCAUCAGCAUC